CAGGGAGUUAGGACUUCAACAUAUGAAUGAGGACUGGGGGGUAGCACAAUGCAACCCAUGCCACAGAACUCUAAAGCGCAUGGCCAUGGAAAAGGACACUAGUAAUAAGUUACGGAAACUACUCAGUCCAGUAUCUGGGCAGAAUCACUAUUCCAUAUAAGUUUUUCCGGGAUGAAAAAAAGGAAAGAAAAAUAAAGGCUACCCUGCAAGAGCCCCCUUUGUUAACACACACUGUUUGCAUCCUGGCUCAAGUGUGAAUCCUCCUACCAAGCUGUAAAUCUUCACUCCUGCUUUUCUACAGAAUCCAAGAACAACUUUGUUUGCAAACUUGCUUUGGAAAUGAGAGUGAGGUAAGUUUUCCAGUGUCUGACAGCUAGGAAGUACCAGGACACUGUAUCUCAAAGACUCCAAGUUGAGACCUUUCCUGUGUGCCACAAUGCCGGAACAAACUCCCUCCCCGAGUACGAGAUUCCAGAAGCAGAACCGUGGACAAUUUUUAAACUCAGAAAGCCUCCUGUGGAGUUGGGACUCACAGCUCACAGCCACGAAAUCACUGUCCAUUAACUGUUUGGUUUCCUGAGAGCAGAGAUUAGGGAUCCUCAGUCUUGCCUGUAUAUCAAUACCACCUGGGACCACUCAGACCAGGUGAAUCAAUGUCCCUGCAGGUUGGGCCCAGGUAAUGGUUUAUUACGUGUUCUAUGUAAGUUUAGGGUAUAACCAAGUGGUUAGAAUUACUAACUAAAUCAAACCUCUUUACUGACCAAUUACAUUAGAAUGUAAAUUCUC
rnacentral:lncRNA from 1 species